GAACUCCAGACCAGUACAAGCAAUCUAGUGACAGAAGCUCCUGUUGUUUGCAAGACGCGCUGGUUCAACCAGGACAAUCCUGCCGGCAGUGGGGACAGUGAGCUCCUGGCUGAUCUCCUGAAGGAACACCCUCAAGAGGUUUGCCUUGAACCAAGUGAGAUCGAGGUCCAGACCGUGGACGGGAUCCCAGCCGCACAGACUGGGCAGAAGUUUGUUGUAAAUGAUGCUUUUCUUGGCUUUUUCUGCCUCAACAAUCACCAGGGAAAAACACAAAACUGCUUUGACUAUCG